rnacentral:piRNA from 1 species
UGGGACCGUUCUCAUUAUUAGGUUGAU